GCGGCGGGUACGGAGUCGGGCGCCAGCCGCGCGUCCCAGGCGCGCAGCCGGUUCAGCGCCCAGUUCACGUCCGGGUCGUCGCU
rnacentral:tRNA from 1 species